CAACAACUUUGUUAUACUACGGUUCGGUCUGACGCAAGCUCCAAUCUCAGCUCAAGCUUCUCUCGCAGAAUGACGAGAGGCUGAUCUAUCAGGCUGUACUACAGAUUUUAUAGUGAAGCAUGGCUAAAUGAAGAUUCUAUAAGAAUUGGUCCACAUAAAGAUGCUGAAAUCUCACAUGAGAGGAUAAAGUGCUUCAAAAGAUUGUUUCCCAAUACUGAU